CUAAACAUACAUUAUGACGUCACAUUAAUAAUGAUGUCAUUGUAAUAAUCAUAUUAAACAUAGAUUAUGCAAGAGCUAAAUCUGUCUAUUGCAGGUUUUUCUUUAGGCCUAAAAUGUUAUCUAAAUUAUUAAUUACACAUUUAUUAACAAAACAAGACCAUAAUCGACUCUCGAUGGCAUCGGAUACUCGAGAUUUUAACUAGAUUAGAACGGUUCGCCAUUUAAAAAUUUAAUGUAAAAUUGGGAAAGCGAGGCUAAGUCCCGAUUUCAAUAUUUCUUUUUUCAUCAUCUAAUUUUGAAUUAUUAUAGCAAGAAUGGCCAACUCUUUAUUAAAACUCUUAACUAAUGUAUCUUUAACUAUUCCCCAGAUUCAAAAGAAAAUACAUCCAAAACAGUUUUCUGUGAACACUGUGGGGUUCUUCAGAAGCAGAUAAGAGAAUUAGAAGCGAAGCUGGAUAAAGCCAACAAUAAAUUGGAAGAUAGUCGAUAUGUUGAUAUACCUGUCAAUACCUACACAGACACCGUAUUGCCCUGAGCCUGUAGAGUUAAUAAAAGAGCAGCAGAGAAAUAUAAAAUGAUUGAACUCUGUCAUGGGUAUGGUGUGUUCAUAUAUCCAUCAGAUCUCGUCCACGUCAAGAAAUUAUUCGAGAAAACAAAGAGUGGACAAUCCGUGACUCGUCACCUUCUGAGCGUCAUGUUUACAAAAGAAGAGCUAUGUUUUGGUUCAGUAUCAAAAGAUCCUAAACCUGGUCUGGCGUCAUUGGAUGCAACCGUAGUUCAAGCCAUUAGAGAUUACUGUGUAGCAAUGUCAAAGGACAAGAACGUGGCCAUUAAUCAAGCUCUUCACAACAAAUUAACCACGUACAGAUAUAAGGCGAGGUGUAGGGCAACAAGUCCUGAAUACUGAUCAUUGACAGUGCUUAUCUAGAUGAAAUUAUGGAUGACGAAACCCCCGUGCUUAUUGAAGGAGUCAAGUCGCUAACUAACUCAAUAUCAUCCAGUCUUCGACAAUGCAAACAGAAACGAUUGAUGUUUCAGUCAAAAUGAAAAUAUUAACAUUGGCACUUGAAUCGCGUGUAGAAUGCUUCGGGUACCAUUUGCAUUAAGGGACUCGAUGAAGGAGACUUAAUAUAUCCCACGUAGAAGAAUAUCACCUUUUAAAUUCAGACCCUUCGCGUAUUUCGUCAAACAUAACUGAUUAUAAAUUACAGUAUAAUAGAAACGAUUGAAUGUAAAUCAGGUUAUAUAUAUUCAUAAUACAUUAUUAUUUGUUGCGAUCUAUUUGUGUCCAUUACUGGGUGCCACAGAAUAGAGAUUUAGCUCUUUCUGGGUUGAUUGCUUAUUAUAUUCAAAUACUAGAUUGGUGGGGAAAACCCGUUCUUAUUUAAUCAAGAUGCUGAGUUGGUGGAGAGAUUUAAGGCCAAGAGUAGCAGAAAGAUAUCAGUAGAAUAUACCACAAGUUCCAAAAUACCGAUUAUUGAUAGUGCUUUUAUUGCUGGGUUUGUGGGGGAAACACCGGAUUGUUUAGUUAAAGUGCUGGGUGGUGGGGGAUACCCUGUGAUUAUUUAAUAAAUAUACUGGGUUGGCGGGGAACCCCGGGCUUGUUUAGUUAAAAUAUUGGGUUGGUGGGGAAAUCCCGGGCCUGUUUAGUUAAAAUACUGGGUUGUUGAGGAAAAUAAAUUUAUCUUUAAAUUGAA